GGAUGAUGUGGAAGGAUGGCCUAAUUCUUCCUCAGAAUCUCUUUUUCUCAUUCUUCUUCUGCCUUCCCCUUUUGCUUUAACAAGAUCAGGGAAAUGGUAAACAGAAAGGACUCCAAGCCUCUAAAAAGGCGACAUUCAGUCUUUUGCUUUUGAAGAAGACAGGAGCGCAUUUGGUGUGGAUGCAGUACAUUCACUAAUCCAAGCCUGCACCACGCUUCCGUUUACUGUUCAGAAGGUACAGAGGCCUCACUCCACUGAGACAGACGGCAGCAGCGUCUGAAAGGGGAGGGAGAAGAGAAGCGUGGCCAGAUGAUUGUGCCCCACAGAAACACAACACUGAGCAAUGUAAAUAAUCGUGAAGUCGCAGAACCACUUCUCCCCGACACAGUCUGUGAGAAAUAGUGGACAAGGAAACCGUGAAGAUGAAUUAAUGGAUGGAUGGUUGAAGAAUGGAUGGAUAGAGAGGGAGAGACAGAUUGAGAGAGAGAGGUAAUCACAUUUUUGUCUUACUUUUGGCUGACCUUAGGGCCGGCUAUUAGAGAACACAUGGGAGAGGUCUGGGACACAAAUAAAUGAGAAAGCUUUAUGUACUGAAUCCA
rnacentral:lncRNA from 1 species